CAUGUGGUUUAAUUCGAUGCAACGCGAAGAACCUUACCCGGCCUUGACAUGUACGGAAGGCUUUAGAGAUACAGCUGUGCCUUGGGGAACUGUAACACAGGUGCUGCACGGCUGUCGUCAGCUCGUGUCGUGAGAUGUUGGGUUAAGUCCCGCAACGAGCGCACCCCCUGUCCUUAGUUGCCAUCAUUAAGUUGGGCACUCUAAGGAGACUGCCGGUGACAAACCGGAGGAAGGUGGGGAUGACGUCAAGUCAUCAUGGCCCUUAUGGCCAGGGCUACACACGUGCUACAAUGGCUAGUACAAAGGGUUGCCAACUCGCGAGAGUGCGCUAAUCCCAUAAAGCUGGUCGUAGUCCGGAUCGGAGUCUGCAACUCGACUCCGUGAAGUCGGAAUCGCUAG
rnacentral:rRNA from 1 species